UACAGAGGGGGCAAGCGUUGUUCGGAAUUACUGGGCGUAAAGGGCGCGUAGGCGGCCUGCUAAGUCGAACGUGAAAUCCCCGGGCUCAACCCGGGAACUGCGUCCGAUACUGGCAGGCUUGAAUCCGGGAGAGGGAUGUGGAAUUCCAGGUGUAGCGGUGAAAUGCGUAGAUAUCUGGAGGAACACCGGUGGCGAAGGCGGCAUCCUGGACCGGUAUUGACGCUGAUGCGCGAAAGCCAGGGGAGCAAAGCGGG
rnacentral:rRNA from 1 species